rnacentral:rRNA from 1 species
UACGUAGGGUGCAAGCGUUAAUCGGAAUUACUGGGCGUAAAGCGUGCGCAGGCGGUUCUAUAAGACAGAUGUGAAAUCCCCGGGCUCAACCCUAGGAACUGCAUUUGUGACUGUAGAGCUGGAGUACGGCAGAGGGGGAUGGAAUUCCGCGUGUAGCAGUGAAAUGCGUAGAUAUGCGGAGGAACACCGAUGGCGAAGGCAAUCCCCUGGGCCUGUACUGACGCUCAUGCACGAAAGCGUGGGGAGCAAACAGG